UACGAAGGGGGCUAGCGUUGUUCGGAAUCACUGGGCGUAAAGGGCGCGUAGGCGGCUUGAUAAGUCGGGGGUGAAAGCCUGUGGCUCAACCACAGAAUUGCCUUCGAUACUGUCUGGCUUGAGACCGGAAGAGGUUAGUGGAACUGCGAGUGUAGAGGUGAAAUUCGUAGAUAUCAGGAGGAACACCGGUGGCGAAGGCGCACAUCUGGCCCGAUACUGACGCUGAGGCGCGAAAGCUAGGGGAGCAAACGGG
rnacentral:rRNA from 1 species